rnacentral:rRNA from 1 species
UACAGAGGUGGCAAGCGUUGUUCGGAAUUACUGGGCGUAAAGGGCGCGUAGGCGGUCUUCUAAGUCUUGUGUGAAAUCCCUCGGCUCAACUGAGGAACUGCACGGGAUACUGGAAGACUUGAGUUCGGGAGAGGGAAGCGGAAUUCCGGGUGUAGCGGUGAAAUGCGUAGAUAUCCGGAGGAACACCAAUGGCGAAGGCAGCUCUCUGGGACGGUACUGACGCUGAGACGCGAAAGCGUGGGGAGCGAACAGG